rnacentral:rRNA from 1 species
UGAGCAAUCUGCCCUUCACACUGGGAUAACCCCCGGAAACGGGAGCUAAUACCGGAUACUCCGGCUGGAUCGCAUGGUCCGGCCGGGAAAGGUCCGCCGGAGAGGGAUGGGCCCGCGGCCUAUCAGCUUGUUGGUGGGGUCAUGGCUCACCAAGGCGACGACGGGUAGCUGGUCUGAGAGGACGACCAGCCACACUGGAACUGAGAUACGGUCCAGACUCCUACGGGAGCA